ACUAUUUUGGCAGAAAAGUGUAUUGAAUUUAGAAUUCAAAUAUGUAAGGUGAUUUACAAAUAGUA
rnacentral:tRNA from 1 species